rnacentral:rRNA from 1 species
GAGCGGUAACAGGAGAAAGCUUGCUUUCUUGCUGACGAGCGGCGGACGGGUGAGUAAUGUAUGGGGAUCUGCCCGAUAGAGGGGGAUAACUACUGGAAACGGUGGCUAAUACCGCAUAAUGUCUACGGACCAAAGCAGGGGCUCUUCGGACCUUGCACUAUCGGAUGAACCCAUAUGGGAUUAGCUAGUAGGUGGGGUAAAGGCUCACCUAGGCGACGAUCUCUAGCUGGUCUGAGAGGAUGAUCAGCCACACUGGGACUGAGACACGGCCCAGACUC